CUACCUGUUUUCUACCUGUGACCCUAGACGGGCUUCCUUCCAGGUGAUCCUGAGGGUCUCUCCCCCAGCACCGCUGGCACUUGGAUCAGGCGCAGUGCUGCAAGUUCCCAGCAGAGGGCGCAGCUGGACACGGCGGGAGUCCUGGGCACGGGGCUAAGGAUGUUCACCAUGUGCUCAGACCACGAGUCCACCUGGGAGGGGCCCCUCCAGGUUCAUCUCUCCGAUGGCAUAAGCCCUGUCUUCCCCCUACAGCAACGCGUUCUCAGCUCAGCCAUCAGUUACACUGAUGCUCCAUGUCUGAAGGCACCACAAAGCUUGUCUGUGGACCCAGA